AUGAGCUGGAAGCCCCGCUAAGCCCUGGAAAUAACUUACUUUCGUCACCUAUUGACUGUUUGGCUUAGUUUGGAACCGGUGUGGAUUUUUCGGGUCUUUUUUCAAGAGAGCCGGUCAAUGAAAAGCUAAGCCAAUAUUUACCAAGUAUAAGAGCAAUUCUCGGCGGUGUUUAUUAAGGGGCCGGUAGGGAAAGGCUGCGGGGGACGCUCGGGGCCGCUCCCCCCCCUCCGCUCCCGGUGCUCUGCGGUGACGGCAGCCGCGAUAGCGCCGUAGGCGGAAUACCAGGAAAUGGGCACUUGUGGCUUCGGGAGAGCGGCACUCCGCCAGCCUCAGUGCUUCACGGCUCUUCAUCCUCGCAUCUCAUCUACUCUCCGAGCCCUCUCCCCCGAAUCUCCGCUUUCUUUCCGAGAAGGAAACGAUUUCGGGGUCUAUUUUUUCUGCUGUGAUUUAUGAUUCUGAUGGUUUUUCUUUUGCUCCGUGCGCUGCUGGACCGCUGGGAGGCAGCAGAGCCCCGCGCAGGGCGCAGAGCAGCCCCGCAGAGCUGCCCGGGGAUGCGGCGCGGAGCCCCGCGGGGAGCCGGGGAGGUGGGCGCCGACCCCGAGCCCCGACGGGGCGGCCGCACGGCGGCGCUGCGGGACAAGGGACGGCCGGGGGUGGGGAGGCCGGGCUGCCAUCAUCACACCCAGGGCCCCAACCAAGCUGGCCUUGAGAGUAUCCAGGGACUGAGCAUCCGGCGCUUCACCUGCCCGCUGAAGUGCCAGGGCAAUGCCAGGGCAUCACCGUCCUUAAUAUUGAAAGGAUAAACAACGCGUUUUCAAGUCCUAAGUGGGGUUGUGUGCGCGGCAUUCACCUCUGGUUUGUGUAAUUAUGAGCACCAGUCGAGCCAGAAGAACGAAGGAACCGACGGUAGUGAGGAGCACCGCGCAGUGCCAGCAUCCCGGAGCGGCCGUGUUUUCCUCUCAGCCCUCCCCCUCUUCUCACCCCUGUGCGAACCACAGGUCAGAGCAGUGCUGGGGACGCAGACGGCUACAAGUUCACACACACAACAAGGUGUUUCUGCAGCUCAGCGUAGCAGGUUUGAACAGUUAGAGGUAACCAGGAUGUAUGUAAUGACUCUUCAUUCCACAUACACGUUGGGGAUUUAACUGCUCGAAACCCUCUCCGUGCUGCUGACAAAAAAACAUUCCAGAUGAGAUGUGCAAGUUGGAGAGCUCACAGGAACCUGCUUGGAACUGCUGCAGGUUGACUUAGCAAACAUCAGCAUCCCUCAAUUCUGCAUAGAGACCUGCUGUAUUUCAGGGGGUUUAGCACCACUUCAGGAAGAAAGUCAUCCACCAGGAAAACUGCAAGCAAAGCUGCUUAGAAUUUAAGGUUGUAUUAUCACCUUCAUGGCUUGGACUGGUCGAUCAGUCUGAACUGUUUCAACUAUUUAAGGAAAACAAAACAAAACAACACACACACACAAAUCAGUUAUAAAUACAAUAUGGAUGUUCAGAAUUAUUUAUUUAUUUUAGUGCCAAGAGCACAAAGCAAUCACAUAGCAGCCUGUAACCCUAACAAAAAAAAACCAACAAAACAAUAAUACAAACAAUUCAGGCAUUCAAAGAUGUCAAAUCCUUCUUCGACCACGUGAAGAAAAAAAUUCAUCGUCGUUUGUUAUCUAUGACUGUCAAAUAAAUAUGCAA